rnacentral:rRNA from 1 species
GAACGGGAAAUAUUUUAUUGAAACUUCGGUAGAUUUAAUUUAUUUCUAGUGGCGGACGGGUGAGUAACGCGUGGGUAACCUGCCUUAUACUGGGGGAUAACAGCCAGAAAUGGCUGCUAAUACCGCAUAAGCGCACAGGGCCGCAUGGUCCGGUGUGAAAAACUCCGGUGGUAUAAGAUGGACCCGCGUUGGAUUAGCUAGUUGGCAGGGCAGCGGCCUACCAAGGCGACGAUCCAUAGCCGGCCUGAGAGGGUGAACGGCCACAUUGGGACUGAGACACGGCCCAGACUUCUACGGGAGGCAGCAGUGGGGAAUAUUGCACAAUGGGGGAAACCCUGAUGCAGCGACGCCGCGUGAAGGAAGAAGUAUCUCGGUAUGUAAACUUCUAUCAGCAGGGAAGAUAAUGACGGUACCUGACUAAGAAGCCCCGGCUAACUACGUGCCAGCAGCCGCGGUAAUACGUAGGGGGCAAGCGUUAUCCGGAUUUACUGGGUGUAAAGGGAGCGUAGACGGCGCAGCAAGUCUGAUGUGAAAGGCAGGGGCUUAACCCCUGGACUGCAUUGGAAACUGUUGAGCUUGAGUGCCGGAGGGGUAAGCGGAAUUCCUAGUGUAGCGGUGAAAUGCGUAGAUAUUAGGAGGAACACCAGUGGCGAAGGCG